rnacentral:misc_RNA from 1 species
UAGGGCCUCAUCGAGAGGCUGAACGGCGGGGAGCGCGUCCUGGAAAAGGGCCGCGGCAUUCUCGACUUCAUGGAGGCGCGACCAGCGCUCACCGUAGCAACCGAUCACGAAGGCCGAGCAGAUCGGCCCACCCCCGGACAUGAUCGCCGCGGACCCAAGAAACGCGUCAACGACGACGUCUGCCGCCCACUCGGCAGCAGCCCGCGGUCAUCGAGCUCCCACGCCGCGAGGUCUCGGC